rnacentral:rRNA from 1 species
AGAGUUUGAUCCUGGCUCAGAGCGAACGCUGGCGGCAGGCUUAACACAUGCAAGUCGAACGGGCGUAGCAAUACGUCAGUGGCAGACGGGUGAGUAACGCGUGGGAACGUACCUUUUGGUUCGGAACAACCCAGGGAAACUUGGGCUAAUACCGGAUAAGCCCUUACGGGGAAAGAUUUAUCGCCGAAAGAUCGGCCCGCGUCUGAUUAGCUUGUUGGUGAGGUAACGGCUCACCAAGGCGACGAUCAGUAGCUGGUCUGAGAGGAUGAUCAGCCACAUUGGGACUGAGACACGGCCCAAACUCCUACGGGAGGCAGCAGUGGGGAAUAUUGGACAAUGGGCGCAAGCCUGAUCCAGCCAUGCCGCGUGAGUGAUGAAGGCCCUAGGGUUGUAAAGCUCUUUUGUGCGGGAAGAUAAUGACGGUACCGCAAGAAUAAGCCCCGGCUAACUUCGUGCCAGCAGCCGCGGUAAUACGAAGGGGGCUAGCGUUGCUCGGAAUUACUGGGCGUAAAGGGUGCGUAGGCGGGUCUUUAAGUCAGGGGUGAAAUCCUGGAGC